GGGGGUGUAGCUCAGCUGGGAGAGCGCGUGCUUUGCAAGCAUGAGGUCGUCGGUUCAAACCCGAUCACCUCCA
rnacentral:tRNA from 1 species